rnacentral:rRNA from 1 species
UGACGCAACGCGGUAGGCGUAGACUUGCAUCUCGGAGCGGCAGCGGGUCCUUCGGGAUGCCGGCGAGCGGCGGACGGGUGAGUAAUGCCUAGGAAUCUGCCUGGUAGUGGGGGAUAACUCGGGGAAACUCGAGCUAAUACCGCAUACGUCCUACGGGAGAAAGCGGGGGAUCUUCGGACCUCGCGCUACCAGAUGAGCCUAGGUCGGAUUAGCUAGUUGGUGAGGUAAAGGCUCACCAAGGCGACGAUCCGUAGCUGGUCUGAGAGGAUGAUCAGCCACACUGGAACUGAGACACGGUCCAGACUCCUACGGGAGGCAGCAGUGGGGAAUAUUGGACAAUGGGCGAAAGCCUGAUCCAGCCAUGCCGCGUGUGUGAAGAAGGUCUUCGGAUUGUAAAGCACUUUAAGUUGGGAGGAAGGGCAGUAAGUUAAUACCUUGCUGUUUUGACGUUACCGACAGAAUAAGCACCGGCUAACUUCGUGCCAGCAGCCGCGGUAAUACGAAGGGUGCAAGCGUUAAUCGGAAUUACUGGGCGUAAAGCGCGCGUAGGUGGUUUGAUAAGUUGGAUGUGAAAGCCCCGGGCUCAACCUGGGAAUUGCAUCCAAAACUGUCUGACUAGAGUAUGGCAGAGGGUGGUGGAAUUUCCUGUGUAGCGGUGAAAUGCGUAGAUAUAGGAAUGAACACCAGUGGCGAAGCGACCACCUGGGCUAAUACUGACACUGAGGUGCGAAAGC